rnacentral:rRNA from 1 species
GACGUAGGGCGCAAGCGUUGUCCGGAUUUAUUGGGCGUAAAGAGCUCGUAGGCGGCCUGUCGCGUCGACCGUGAAAACCCGCAGCUCAACUGCGGGCUUGCGGUCGAUACGGGCAGGCUCGAGUUCGGUAGGGGAGACUGGAAUUCCUGGUGUGAGCGGUGAAAUGCGCAGAUAUCAGGAGGAACACCGGUGGCGAAGGCGGGUCUCUGGGCCGAUACUGACGCUGAGGAGCGAAAGCGUGGGGAGCGAACAGG